rnacentral:lncRNA from 1 species
UUUUUUUUUAUAAUAAGGUUAAAUAUUGGUUUAGCUGGUUUAGUUUGUUCUAGUUUAACAGGUUUUAAAUUUUUUAAACUGAAACUGAAUUAACUGAUUUUUUUUCUUUUUGAAUUAUUCAGUUUUUUUAGGUUAAUUUUUUUUCUCGGUUCAACUUGAUUAUAAAUCUACUAUUUCUAAUUAAAUCAGUAUCAAUGUACUUAACACCU